rnacentral:rRNA from 1 species
GACGAACGCUGGCGGCGUGCUUAACACAUGCAAGUCGAACGGAAAGGCCCUGCUUUUGUGGGGUGCUCGAGUGGCGAACGGGUGAGUAACACGUGAGUAACCUGCCCUUGACUUUGGGAUAACUUCAGGAAACUGGGGCUAAUACCGGAUAGGAGCUCCUGCUGCAUGGUGGGGGUUGGAAAGUUUCGGCGGUUGGGGAUGGACUCGCGGCUUAUCAGCUUGUUGGUGGGGUAGUGGCUUACCAAGGCUUUGACGGGUAGCCGGCCUGAGAGGGUGACCGGCCCAUUUGGAACUGGAGUACGGCCCAACCCCCAAGGGGGGGAAGGGGGGGGGAAAAUUGAAAAAGGGGGGAAGGCCGGUUGAGGCACCGCGGGGGGGGGGAGGAGGGCCUUGGGGUUGAAAACCGCUUUGCCCGGUAAGGAGGGGGGGGUGAGGGAAAGGGGAAAGAAAGCACCGGCAAACUAGGG